rnacentral:lncRNA from 1 species
CGACUUUUUAUUAAACAUUUGUACAAAUAAUCUUCAUACCUAAUUUAACCCAAUGUCAUUUUAAAAAAGAAGGGUCCAUGCUUUAAUUUUUUAAAUUAAAUCAGUCUGAAUGAUAAAAAUCAGUGGAAAAUGCUCCUUUACCGAUAUGUCACAGUUUGAAGUCGCUAAAAUAACAUUUGACGUUGUUUCUAGCAAUGAAAAAAACGUCAUAUUAUAACGUCCUAUUUCGCGUUUUUCACGUCAUUACUCCCCUGUAUUUGUAUCGUAUGCCCUAAAACAACUAUCCUUAUUUACAACAGUAUUAUAGCAUCAACACAAGUUAUAUAAUUAGAUAAAAUUUCGAUACGACAGAAGAUAGAAUCACGUGUUCUAUUGAUUUGCAUAUUUAUACAUUAUACAAAAGUGAGAACUGAAUUAAAUUAUAAUAAUUCAAGCGUGACGAAAUGCGGGAAAUAUUCCAAUAAAUAACUCAGUUUUCCGUUUUAAUUGAGAUAUAUUCCUAUAAAAGUGGUAAAUGAAAGUAAUAACGGUAUGUUGAUACUUAUUGUAUGCAAAGCACAUUUUACAAAGAAUGGAUGAAAAAUCAAAAGUAAUAUAGGUAAGAUUCAGGUAACUUGUUACUGAUUGGUAACAACAAAGUAUGAGUGAAAAAAAAGUAAUGAAGACAUGGUUAAACUGGUUGUGUAUAAAUAAUGUUUGACACAGUAUAAUUGGAAAAGUUAGCGUGAUAAAGGUAAGUUAUCAUCAUUUUUUUUAAAAAUAAGUUUGAAUUUCAAAAAGGUAACAUAAUUCAGUUUAUUUGAGGUUGAACUGUCGUGAAGAACAAAAAAGGUGAGUCCUGUUUUAUAAACAUAUUAUUAUCAGCAAAAUCAUAUUUUCACGUUCGCCAUUUAAAAAAAUAUAUACAUAGGUGAGAAAAGAGACCAAAUCUUUGAAAACAUCAUCCUUAUUUUUUCAAUAUCUAUGAUGAGUCAGUGUUAGCUUAGUGUGCAUCAAAUGAUGUAUUUAUAAUUAACAUCAGUAGGUUUUAUUUAUA